UUCUGACAGACUGUACUCUCCAUGGUGAAGCAGCCUCUUGGAAGGUCAGAGGAGGUGAUUGCCCAAGCCCUUGAGGAAUACUCAGUGCACCCUGAAGUCUCCUGCUGAUAUGGGAGAAGAUGGGGGACAGUAGAUCCAACCAGCUUGGAGACAAGGAAGGCAACUUCCCUGGAGAGUCACAGAUCCUCAGGAGACCUGGCAUACAGGGUCUUCUCACUAAGCUGCUUAGGACCUUGUAAGUUGCUG